ensembl:lncRNA
GACACAGACCCUUCCUGUGCUCAUCUGUAACUUGCUGGUGAAAGAGAACAAUGAGGUACAUGUUGGUGAUCGCCGUGGUGGGUGCACUGUUUCUCGCUGUCACGGCACUGCCUCAUGGUCGGUACCGCACGCCAACCAAGGUGACUACUACGUGCUGCAAGAACGUUUCACGUGCUCGCAUCCGCGAUAUUGUGGACUUUAAGCGCCAUCAUGCACAGCCUCCAUGCAAGGAGGCCAUCGUUUUUAUCACCAAAGAUGCCAAGAAGUAUUGCACUGACCCAAAUGCACCAUGGGCGGCAAAAAAUGAAAGGUAUGAUCUGAAAGAAAUCAUGGCCCUUAUUUUGAGGAUCAUAUCAGCUGGUGGAAACGGCAGGUUAUUUACACUCCGGAGGUCUAAAAAAGCAAUGAAUACCAACAAGCUCGACAAAGAGCUAUCCUAGAGUAGGAUGGGCCAGCUGGAGAAGGAGAAUGUUCUGCUCUAUGAAAAUCAAAUAGUAUAAUCACAGGCCAAUACAUUUACUCUAUACGCUUUACUUUUCUUUGCAAACCCUUUGAAAAUCACACUUGAUUUGGAGGAAAAUGUCAGUUUGUCUAAACUGACAAAAGCACAUUCAAACACAUUCAUUAUACUUAACAUGUGAACAUGACAUUCUGAGGUUUUUAAAAACAGAAUUGAAUUGAAUUUCACAUGCAACCUUCUUGAACACAGUUUCCUCUGUAGUGUUGAAGCAUUGAUUAUAAAAAUAUUUUUUAAGUAUACUAUUGCAUUGUCUGACGAUACAUGAUUUAAACUGUUAAUGUUCUGUUAUGUGUAUAUGAAAGGGUACAAAAGUGUGUGUGUGUGUGUAUAUAUGAAUUAAAGGGUAAAAUGUUAAAAUGUAGAGCAAACAAUAUAUAUUAUAUAUAUCUAGUAUAUACUCAGAGAAAACAUUUAGCUGGCAUUGUGAUGGACCUCUAGGCUUUGGUAAGGUCACUGUUUUUAGUGUUGGAGCAGCAAUAUUCACAGGCUCUUUAUUAAGAUCAGCUGCAAAACACAAUUUCCCAAGAAUUAC